AAACAGAUUUUAAGCAAUCUACCCAAGGCUACAUAUACUUUGGCAGAGCUGGGACUAGACCUCAGGAGUUUCUGGCUCUCCAUCAUACUGAAUUCUGCAAUUUAUUUAUUUAUUGAAGGCAAAACUCUCAUUUGGAUUUUACAACCGGAUCUUUGUUGCUGCUGGAAAUGUUGGAGACACUAUUUGAAUUGAGCUUAUGAACAUGAGAAGAGGCAUGGAGUUAAGCAUCUAGAGAGUGACUUCCCAGGAAGCCAUGGUGCUGCGGGAAACAAUGCUGAUGACUGAAGAAGUGACACUCUUCCCACUUGGCCAGUAUUUUACCAUUGGUGUUAGCACUGAACCCAGCAUGGGGACCUAAACUCAAAGGCUUUGAUGGCUAUUUUGGAUUUCACUGAACCAGAACAGUGGGAUCUGCUAUCCUCAUUUCUCUUGAUCUGUCAAGCAUCAACUGAGUACUGUCCAUCAAAAGAACAACUCACCUUUCUCCACUACCACCUAACAAAGAAGGAAUAGAUCCAGGAAUAGAUCAAGACCUGUGGCUGAGUUGCUGCAAUGAAAAUAUGAAUGUUGAAGAAACUGUGGAUAUCCCAGGACCAUUCAAGGCUGAACGAGAGUGCUACAUGUUCUUCUGGGAAGAUAGGAACCAUCCCUAACCAAUAGGAACCAGCCUGAGACCAUCAAACUCCUUUCACAGAACCCACUGACGUCACAGGAUGGUAACCGUCUUCAGGAAUUACUGAAUGGAAUUGAACAACCAAUACUAUAAGAUUGGUGGGAGAGGAGGAAUCUGGUGAAAUAUUUUACCUGUUAUAACUCACAACAAAAACAAGUUUUGCAAUCCAUACAAACAGUAACAAUACCAGGAUUAAAAAAAAAAUCUCACUCAAAGGGGUUAAUGCGAAUGUAACCACUUUCACCUAAUUAAUCACAGCCACACAAAUGAACAGGUGCAAGACUAUGCUCUUAACCUGCCGUUCUAACAAACUGUAAGAGAAAAACCCCUGAAAUCGCUCAUAAAAAGGUAAAAAACUUAACCUUUAAUCUGCACUAGCUAAGUAAAUACACGCAAUAAAA